AAGUGCACCCAUAGAGGGACACUAGAUUUUUGUGGCGCAGGCGUGUUAGGAGUGCUAUCUCAUUGAGGAAUUGCUGAACCUUGCAGUAGUUGCGCUCAUAUAGACGCUUGACAGCAACUUCCCUCCCAUCUUGAAGUUUGCCAUAGUAUACAGCUCCAAAACCUCCAUCUCCAAGUUCAUUUUCUGAAGCAAAGCUAUUAGUAGCUUUUUCAAGUGCAUUGUAACAGAAGAUGGAGACCCCAAAGAAGAUAUUGCCCCCUUCCCUAUCUGAUAUUGAGAAUAUAUCAGCAGACGAGUUUCUUGGGACAAUGUUUGAGGACGUCUGUUUCCUUUUAUUUCGAAGCCAGAAGAAAAUUA
rnacentral:misc_RNA from 1 species